UACGUAGGGUGCAAGCGUUGCCCGGAUUUAUUGGGCGUAAAGGGCGCGUAGGCGGCUACGCACGUCCGUUGUGAAAUCGCCCGGCUCAACUGGGCGGGGUCGGCGGAUACGGCGUAGCUUGAGCAAGCUAGGGGGCAAUGGAAUUCCCGGUGUAGUGGUGGAAUGCGUAGAUAUGCGGAGGAACACCGAUGGCGAAGGCAAUCCCCUGGGCCUGCACUGACGCUCAUGCACGAAAGCGUGGGGAGCAAACAGG
rnacentral:rRNA from 1 species